CUGCUGGCACGUAGUUAGCCGUCCCUUUCUGGUAAGCUACCGUCACGGUGUGAACUUUCCACUCUCACACCCGUUCUUGACUUACAACAGAGCUUUACGAUCCGAAAACCUUCUUCACUCACGCGGCGUUGCUCGGUCAGGGUUGCCCCCAUUGCC
rnacentral:rRNA from 1 species